rnacentral:misc_RNA from 1 species
UCUAAGUUACCUUAGCAGUCUAUUUAGAGUUCUCAACUAAAUGAUAGCAACUAAAUAUGAGGGUUGCGUUCGUUAUAGCACUUAAGCAUAUGCUUCACAGCACGAACUGACGACGACCAUGCACCACCUGUGUCGGGAUAACCUCCGUUGAGUUUCCUCAACUUUGCCCUCCAUGUCAAACCUUGGUAAGGUUCUGCGCGUUGUAUCGAAUUAAACCACAUGCUCCACCGCUUGUGCGGGUCCCCGUCAAUUCCUUUAGGUUUUAGCCUUGCGGCCGUAGUCCCCAGGCGGAGCAUUUAAAGCGUUAGCUGCGACACUAAGCAUACUGCCUAAUAUCUAAUGCUCAUCGUUUAGGGCGUGGACUAC